rnacentral:rRNA from 1 species
UACAGAGGUCUCAAGCGUUGUUCGGAUUCAUUGGGCGUAAAGGGUGCGUAGGCGGCGGGGUAAGUCGGAUGUGAAAUCCCGGGGCUCAACCCCGGAACUGCAUUCGAUACUGCCUUGCUAGAGUACUGGAGAGGAGACUGGAAUUUACGGUGUAGCAGUGAAAUGCUUAGAUAUGACAUAGAACACCAAUUGCGAAGGCAGCUUACUACGGAUCGAUUGACACUGAGGCACGAAAGCGUGGGGAUCAAACAGG